GAUCAUGGCUCAGGAUGAACGCUAGCUACAGGCUUAACACAUGCAAGUCGAGGGGCAUCAGGGUGUAGCAAUACACCGCUGGCGACCGGCGCACGGGUGAGUAACACGUAUCCAACCUGCCCUUUACUCGGGGAUAGCCUUUCGAAAGAAAGAUUAAUACCCGAUGGCAUAACAUGACCUCCUGGUUUUUGGUUUAUUAAAGAAUUUCGGUAGAGGAUGGGGAUUCGUUCCAUUAGGCAGUUGGCGGGGUAACGGCCC
rnacentral:rRNA from 1 species